CGGAGGGGGCGAGCGUUGUCCGAAGUUACUGGGCGUAAAGGGCGCGUAGGCGGGGUGUCACGUCCGCUGUGAAAGCCUGGAGCUUAACUCCAGCGGGUCGGUGGAUACGGGCACUCUUGAAGGCGUUAGGGGAAGAUGGAAUUACCCGUGGAGCGGUGAAAUGCGUAGAGAUGGGUAGGAACACCGGUGGCGAAGGCGGUCUUCUGGGACGUCCUUGACGCUGAUGCGCGAAAGCUGGGGGAGCGAACGGGAUUAGAUACCCCGGUAGUCCCAGCCGUAAACGAUGGAUACUAGAUGUCGCGGGUAUCGACCCCUGCGGUGUCGUCGCAAACGCAGUAAGUAUCCCGCCUGGGGAGUACGGCCGCAAGGUUG
rnacentral:rRNA from 1 species